rnacentral:rRNA from 1 species
UACGUAGGGUGCGAGCGUUGUCCGGAAUUAUUGGGCGUAAAGGGCUCGUAGGCGGUUUGUCACGUCGGGAGUGAAAACUCGGGGCUUAACCCCGAGCCUGCUUCCGAUACGGGCUGACUAGAGGUAUGCAGGGGAGAACGGAAUUCCUGGUGCAGCGGUGAAAUGCGCAGAUAUCAGGAAGAACACCCGUGGCGAAGGCGGCUCUCUGGGACGAUACUGACGCUGAGACGCGAAAGCGUGGGGAGCGAACAGG